UUGCUUUGGUGGGACUAGCAGAUGGUGUUUUUGGCUCAAGAAUCUGAAGUGGAAAACAAUAUAACUCCAAUGAAGAUUGAUAAGUUUGAUUGGUCUGCUUAAGAACAAGUGUGGCAGCAGUUUACAUUUCUUGAAGUUUAACCUUUCCAUCUAAAAAUUUGCAAUGAUUCAUUCAAAGGAGUCUGUAACAAUGCUAUAUGAUUGUUAUUAUUUUCACUUGAAUAUCCUGACUCUGAAAUUAAUAUUUAAUUAAUAAAUGUAACAAGUGUGCCAAGAGUUUACGUUUAUUAAAGUUUAACCUUUUCCACCUGAAAAUUUGUAAUGAUUCAUUUCAAAGGAGUCUGCUGCAAUGGUAUACGGUUAUUAUUUAUUCACUUGAAUAUCCUGAUUCUGAAUUUUUAUAUUUAUUUAGUAAAUGUAACCACAGAGUAGUGCCUACUGGCUUCUAUAACCCUUUUCCAAUACUUCCAAUGUUUGUUAACUUACAAUAACAUAUUUUCUACUAAUUACUUAUCAUUCUAUUGUCAAAAUGGACGGGCGCGGCAACGUGCACCUUCGAUGAUCUAGUUAUGUCAUAAAAGGGUCUCCCAUUUCGCCCCCUCCUCCUAAAGCAGGGCGUUUUCACCAGCUCACAAUCAUUUCCACAGCUGUAGCGCCAAACAACUAACUUUCUCUGCAACAGCUUCCUCGGCACAACAACUUGGCGAGCAUAGCAAUUUUACGGCUUGAUUUUCAAAGCCGCAUCCCAAGUAAACAAGGCCUUAGUGGCGUUUCUAAGUUACCAAAACUGUUAGUGGCGUUUCUUAGCAGUGUUCCACUAGUGACUUAAUGGCAAAACCUUAUUAUAGGAGCAUGACAUUUUUUCCAUGUUUUACAUGACAUUUUCUAAUAAGAGCAUGGCAUUUAAAAAAUUAUUAGUAACAUGGAAUUUUAAUAUUAAGAUAUGGCAUUUUUAUAUUUAAGAGAUGCCAUUUUUUGUUCAUUAAGAGAUGGCAUUUAAAAAAAUUAUUAGUAAAAUGUAAUUUAAUAUUAAGAGAUGGCAUUUUAUAUUUAAGAGAUGGCAUUUUUUAUAUUAAGGGAUGGCAUUUUUUGUUCAUUAAGAAAUGAAAAAAUAUAUAUUUAAGAGAUGAUAUAUUUUAUAUUAAGAGGUGACUUUUUUGGUUUUAGAUGUCAUUUUUUGUUCAUUAAGGGAUAGCAUUUUUUAAAAUUAUUAGUAACAUGGAAUUUAAUAUUAAGAGAUGGCAUUUUUAUAUUUAAGAGAUGGCAUUUUUAAUAUUAAGGGAUGCCAUUUUUUGUUCAUUAAGAAAUGAAAAAAAAAUUAUAUUUAAGAGGUGACNNNNNNNNNNNNNNNNNNNNNNNNNNNNNNNNNNNNNNNNNNNNNNNNNNNNNNNNNNNNNNNNNNNNNNNNNNNNNNNNNNNNNNNNNNNNNNNNNNNNNNNNNNNNNNNNNNNNNNNNNNNNNNNNNNNNNNNNNNNNNNNNNNNNNNNNNNNNNNNNNNNNNNNNNNNNNNNNNNNNNNNNNNNNNNNNNNNNNNNNNNNNNNNNNNNNNNNNNNNNNNNNNNNNNNNNNNNNNNNNNNNNNNNNNNNNNNNNNNNNNNNNNNNNNNNNNNNNNNNNNNNNNNNNNNNNNNNNNNNNNNNNNNNNNNNNNNNNNNNNNNNNNNNNNNNNNNNNNNNNNNNNNNAUGGCAUUUUUAUAUUUAAGAGAUGACAUUUUUUUAUAUUAAGAGAUGACAUUUUUGUUCAUUGAGACAUGAAAUGUUUUUAUAUUUAAGAGAUGAUUUUUUUUAUUUCGAGGUUACAUUUUUUUGGUUUAGAUGUCAUUUUUUGUUCAUUAGGAGAUGUCAUUUAAAAAAUUAUUAGUAACAUGCCAUUUAAUAUUAAGAGAUGGCAUUUUUAUAUUUAAGAGAUGGCAUUUUUGAUAUUAAGAGAUGACAUUUUUGUUCAUUGACACAUGAAAUGUUUUUAUAUUUAAGAGAUGACAUUUUUUAUAUUAAGAGGUGACAUUUUUUUGGUUUUUAGAUGGCAUUUUUUUGUUCAUUAAGAGAUGACAUUUCUAUAGUAAGAGAUGACAUUUCAUUUUUUGUUCAUUAAGAGAUGGCAUUUUUAUAUUAAGAGAUGGCAUUUUUUGUUAUUAGAUGACAUUUUUGUUUAGGUAAAUCUUUCAGAUUAUUAGGGUGGGUUGGUUUCAAAAGCAUUUGUUUAGGUAAAUCCUUGAGAUUAUUUGUAUGUCUUUCCAGUGUGAAAGUGACGAAUCGUUGUCGAGUCUUGCCUUGUUUUCUUCUUCUUUGGUAGUCCUGGACUGAACAAUGAGUGAGUAGAGGAGCUCAAGAUAUUGUAUGUCUUUUUAUUGGAUGUCGUUUUCUUGGGUUGGGUUUGGCUUGUCAAUAUUCAAAUUCAACAUGUGACGGUCAUUUCCCCACGCCUUAAACGUGCUCCCGCUGUCGAGCGCCGUGCUUGCCCUUUAACCAUUUAGCCCGCGGAGCAGGUAAUAGAUUUGGUCGUGUACAUGGCUGCGUACUGUCCGUGGCUGCUGAUGUAGACACGCAGAACCAAGGGCAGCGAGUGGGCAAAUUAAGAUGUUUUUCGUUGUUGUUGUUGUUGUUGAUCUGAUUGUAGCUAGCACUACACGUGCUAUUCGCAAAUUUAUUGGAUUUUGCUAAUAGGCCUUUAGUCCAAAACCCAACUAAAAUUUUAAAAUUCUCUUGCCUCAUUCAUGCACACAUGUGAGUGGAGUGAGUGAGACUAAAAUUUAAUCUCACCCUGAAAGUUAAGAGAGAAUUGCACAUUUUUAUAAGGUGAGCUAUUCUACCACUUGUAUGAGCAUGAGAAGAGGAGACCUACACGCGCGCUCCUCCUCCUCGCCUCGCCGCGGGUUGCGGGAUUGAGCCGAGCCGAGGACAGAGCUAUGUACGUUGUUGUCUAUAUUUUUGCUGCUCGGUAAAAAUUAAUGAGUCAUUAAAUAAUAAUUAACGGAUGUGUUAAUUACUGAACCGUUUUUGAUUCUUUUGUGUCGUGACGACUCGGAUGUGGAGUUUACUCUCACGACCUAUUCGGCCCGCACUAUAUAGUCAGGCAGACGUCUAUCCUAGCCGCCGCCGCUUCGUAUGGUUUCUCACCACUGUUUCAGAUCAUUGCGCCGCCAAGCAAGUCUUCUCCAUCCCUCCUUUCGGCGUGCACUUGGAGAAGGGACAGCAGGCCUCCGGAACCCCGCCUCUCGUGAUUCUAUAUGGGAGAGGGGCGAUCAGGUUUUUGGGGAGCGCACUCGCGCGACUGCUGAUAGCAACGACUUCGCGAACGACGACUUCUUCCCCGACCUCGGCAACCUCAUCCUCGAUGACAUGGGCGACAACAUCAACACCGGCGGUGCUGCUCCCGCUGCACCGUAUGUGAUUCUAUCCUUCCUGUUCGAGAUCGUGGUAGAAUUCAUGUUUUUAGUAUGUGCCCUAGAUGUGAUAUGUUCAUCUACUAUGCUAGUUCACAUGAUUAGUUUAAUCUCUGUUAUUGCCGUCAUGAUUUAUUUUUUGUUCAGUCGGAUUAAAUCUCAUAGUAAUUUGCUCAUAUUUCUAACAAAAUUAUCCAUCUUUCUUGCACAAAUUCAACUUGUGUAGCAGUAUAAAAUAAUCACAAUGGGGAAUUCACCUACCGACAUGAACUGCAGCUAUCUAUCUAUCAAGGUUCAUUGUCUUUUUGCAAGGAGACUGUCAGCGUUGACUGCAGCUAGCUAUCCAGGUUCAUUGUCCAGGCUCCAGGCUCAUUAAACAAUGUAUACAGAUAGUAUAAAGCUAAUCCUUGCGAAGAUUGUUCUAAGCAAAAUCCUCCGCCAUGUACAACGUACUGCUCACUCUAUCUAUACAUUAUUAACUCGGGAGAAACGAAGACUCUGCUCUCGUCUGAACCAAACCGACAGGGACAGUCUUGUGUGCAAACCUAACAAAGGAGGAGGUCGGUAACUCUCACUAAGACUGGUCAUAGUGGGAAGGAACUUAGGAGUAACAUCACACACUUCAAUACAAUUUUGCUUAUGUGGCACGUAUUUAAUGAAGAGAGAGGUGCUUGUGGUAACUAGCUAAGUUACCGGAACAUCACACACUUCAAAAAACAAUGAGUCUAUAACCUAAUAAAUACAUCGUUGCAUGAUACUACAUAAAUGUUCUUCCUCACUAUGGAGAUAGUAACAUAGUCUAGGGAAGUGUGUAAGUUACUAGCUUAUAUUCUUGUCCAUUGUGACCAGCCUAAGCCUACGGUGAUUAAAAGCACAGGUGCCGGUUGAACUAUUGACCCGGGAAACGGGGUGAAAUUUUCCACAUGACGAGGCUCUUGAUCUCGAUCCAGCUAGCCAUUUAUCAUUGGUUAGGAAAGUCGCCAGCGUUGACGAGAGAAACUGCCAGGAAAUUAAGCUGAACAUGGGAUAAACACACCAGUCUGCUGAUGAGAUCGAACACGAUCGAUAUGCUCGACGGCCGUGUGGACUUUGCUGGAUCGAGCUCACCGAUGGAUGGAUCACGUCGGCCACUCCCUUAAUUUACCGUCUCGUACGUACAUGUGGCGUCCGUGCGUGCACCUGGUUGCUGGUGGAUUACUCGACCGACCCCUAUACUUUUCGACGGUGGUAGCUUGACGCCUGUGCCAACCGUGGUUUGAGCCAGCAGGAAUGCGCGUUUGGCUUCACUGGAAAUGGUUGACCAAUGAAGAACUGAUUAUAUUAUUAUUAUUUGUAUACCGUAUGUAUAAGGGCAAGUCAAACUUAUGGUGUGAUCGAUUGGGCCACACGUCGUGUGUCGUUAUCUCUCGGCACUGGUAUUUUUUUUUAAACAUGGCAGCAGACUUGCCAUUUUCAUUGAUUAAGAGGAGGAUUCAACACACACAACGCGAAGCGGCGAAAACAAAACAAUUACUCUGCGGCAUUACAUUGCGCAAAUACUUGGCGCUCGCAAUGACCCAAAUAGAAGCCCUCUUUGCUGCGUCGCAUGACAAUCGCAACCGGCGUUGUUUUGCUCCUGAAGACGAGAGCAUUUCUUUCAUUCUAGAUUUUCCAUCCCACAAGGAGUAACAAUGAAGACAGGGCCUUCGUCGGAUGAGCAUUGCUAGAUAGGAUCGCAUCCCACCAAGAUUUUACCGAGUUGAACAGGAGCCAAGGGGCCAGCCCAAGCCAUGAGAAGACCACGUCUCAAAUCCAGACAUAAAAAACAGCAUUUGAAGAGCAGGUGUGCUGCAGUUUCUUGCACCUGACUGCAAAGCGAGCAUUUGUCGCACUCGCAAUUUGGCCAUCCUCUCUAUUUUUGUUAUAGAACGUGUAUCGUUCAACACCAUUGUGUGCAAAAGAAAAGAAAAUGAGGUUAGUAACACUGACUAAGAGCAUGUACAGCCGGACUUCUCAAAUUGACCGUGCGGGCGCUGGGACCACUGACCGGAAAAGAGAGAGAAGCAAAAAAUAGCAAAAACUUAACCCAACCGGACCCCUCUUAUCUUUCCUAUAUGUCCGGGUUGUCCGCGUAUCCUCAUAUCCAUCUCAAAUAUGGGGAGGAUAUGAGGGCUCGUGGACACGUCCGGGCACGUCCGGUCAAUCCGCCACAUAGAACGCGGACCCACCUCGGACCAUCUUUUCACUUUAUUUAUUCAUUCUUUUAUUUUUCUCUCUACAUCUUCACCAAUCACGUGCAAGUGAUCGGACAUAUGAGAAAGAAAUGAGGAUUGUGGCUGCACGGAUGAACAAAUCGAGGCUUAAAGCGGACACGCUCGAUCACUGACCGAACGCGUCCGCGGGCUUAUGAGAGAUCGAAUUAGAGAUACGUGGCUGAAGAUGCUCUAAGCCUUCGGUGAUUAAAUGCACAAGUGCCGUUACGGGAUGAAAAUUUUCACAUGAUGCUCUUGAUCUCGAUCCAGCUUAGCCAUUUAUCGUACUACUUGUUUAAAAAGUCGCUAACGUCGACGAGAGAAACUGCGAGGAAACUAACCUGAACAUGCAACAGUCUGCUGAUGAGACCGGACACGAUCGAUAUGCUCCACGCCGUGUGGACUUUGGAGCUAGUUCACCAAUCGAGCACGUCGGCCACUCCGUUAAUUUACCGGCUCGUAGUACGUACUACACGUACAUGUGGCGUCCGUGUGUCGUCGGUGCUGCAACGCUCUGACUUGCUCGGCCGGCGUACUUUUCGACACUUGUAGCUUACCUUGCUUGACGCUACUUUGGCUUCAUAACUGGAAAUGGUUGACCUGUGUGUUAUGAAUUAGUCUUAGGGAUAAGUAUAUUUUUCGUCCUUUAAUUCUUUCAAGAGUAUAGAAAUAGUCCUUCAACUUCAAAACCAGCAAAAAUUAGUCCCUCAACUUUUCAAACCGGAUAACUUUAGUCCCUAAUACCGCUUUAGAUGAUUUAACUGGUGAUGUAGCAUGGUUUUAACUGGUUCGAAUGGUUUCGUUGAUGAAGUGGAGGCUGCCGGUCACGGGACGCUGAAAACAUGUUCGCCAGCACCGGCCGGUCCGCUACUACUCUGGCCGAGCACUCUUUGAGCACCCCGAGCAGCCAUGCCCAGCUGGCUGUAGCCCCGCUUGCUGGUCGAGCUGCACUCCGCCGUCCGAUGGUUGCCGCAUCUACCGAGUUACCACUUGUCGUGUCCGCUGCGCAUUGGUACUGCUUGCUGGGCGCAUCGCUAGCACACUAACACUGGCAACCACAAGCCUGCUCACCAUGGGCGUCACCGCUUCAUGCUGAUGCGUGUUGCCGCCGCAGCCUGUGCUAACCGGUUCACUCGCAGAGCUGACAGAGGAGCUGCAUGGUCCCCUUCGCCACUUAUGCCACUGCCUAGCUAGCGCACAAGCAGAGCAGCAGCACCGCCCGUUCGUCCGUGCUGCGUGCUCCGGCCGUGGCAGUUCUGGUGGCGCUGGAGCUCCUUCCACGCGAGCUCAGCAGCUCGACGGUGCGUGCGCUACGAACCUGCAGCACGCACUGUGGCGAGCUAUGGAACCUCCACAAGGCCACUCCUCGAGCGCCUCGACUUCACACAUUGACAUUGCCGUCAUGCGUGUUGUACUGCUGCUGCAGCCCUAGCGUCAGCGACACGCCACCUGUGUCGCCGCCGAAGCCCCUGCCCAUCGUAUGCGUCAAAGUCGAUCGAGGUGGUGGUGGUCCAUGAUGCCGAUGCUCUCCAUCCGCGCCGGGGCGCCGAAGACGUUGACAAUGGAGGCGAGCAAGCUGGCGUCGUGCACAUGCAGCCGCGCCCGUGUCGGCUUCCGGUCAUUGGCCCCGGCAUGCUCACCUUCGUCUACAGUAGUAGUACGGCCACCCUGGCAUGGCAACCAGCCGCCGGUCGUCAUUGGAGACAAGAUGUAGAUCAUGCAUGUGAGUUAUUUGAUGAAAUGCAUGUGUUACGGGCACAUAGGGUGGUAGCAAGGAGACCACUACUGUCAUGGCCGAGACACAGGUGACGCAUCACGGCAUGUUGUUCGCAGGUAGAAUACGUGCAUGAUACUGGCAUUUUCGCCAUGGACGAGGUCAAGGGUGGCAGCCAAUACGGAGUUGGUACCUUCCCUUAGAUGAAAGGUAGAGGAGGUGGGGCCCACACUAGUCAGCUCGAGUCAAAACCACUCCACGUCAGCAGGAAACCACUUGAAAUGGCAAUAGGGACUAAUUUUAUCCGGUUUUAAAAGUUGAGGGACUAAAUUUUACUGGUUUUAAAGUUGAGGGACUAUUUCUAUACUCUUGAAAGAAUUAAGGGACGGAAAAAUAUACUUUUCCCUUAGUUUUAUAUAAGGAUAGGUCAAACACAGUGGUUUGGCACAGUCAGUCAACACGUUGUGUGUCCUUGCCUUUUCGUAUUUUCUUACUUCAGGUGAGGUCCUGUUUGCGAAUGUCCUCCUCCUUGCCGACACUCUGACACCACGUGCCACGUGAGAGGAUGAAUAGAGCGCUAGGUGGACCGCCACUUAAUCUGGAUCCAAGGUUUUUAUUUUUAUUUUGAGUCUGAAUCUAGAUCCAUGCUUUUUUAACACAAAUCUAGAUCCAAGUUGUUUGAUAAGUGUGAGCCAUUUUUUUCUUCGAAAAGAGGGAACCGCUAAGUGGCGACUUAAUGUUUCCUUUAAACUAUCGACCAUCAAUGAAAUGUAUGGAUGUGUGAGUGUAAGAUACCGCAGCGUGCCACUCUUAGGUCCUGUUUGUUUCAGUCUUUCAGCUUUGGGAGACAGCUUCGGACAGGGAAAAGUUAAAAUGGAAACACACAGCUAUAUUAAAGGAGUUGUGGAAUCACAACCCAAAGCUGACUCAUGCUAACUUUAGCGUAACAACCCAAAGCACAUCUCGACGUACUUCACAGCCAAACAUGUUUCCUUGUCACCUUGUCCUUGGUGUUUGGCCGUAAUUAAGGACAGUAUAACCGCACCUAAUCCCUGCCCUUACAACGCUUUAGAUUUUCGGAGUUCCUGGCCGUCGGAUUUAAUGUGAAAAACGUUUUGUUUCACAGUGUGGCUAAUUUGGCCCAGCUGUCCUGUGGGCUGCUGCUCCACGGGCCGAAAUGGACGUUUCUAGUGCAUCGGGCCUUCACGAGCCGGCAGCCCAUCCGAAGGAGUGAGGCCUACGAGCUACCACUUGAGGGUUCAUCUGCUCCCGCAUCCCUAAUCCAGUCCCCAUCGAGACCGCAGCGGUCGGCGGCUCGUCACUCAUCGCCUCCCUCUGUCCCGACGCCUGCUCUCCUAUCCUCUUCCUGCGCCGCCGACAUCAACGGCCCCCGUCACCAUUCCUCUCGCCCCCCCUUAACCUAUGGUUGCAGCGGGAUCCAGCAACGCGGGAUACAGAGGAGUGGCCGGUCUGCGCCCAUCCAGCCCCGAUGCGAGGCGCGCAAUGGGAUCAACCGGAUGUGCGGGAUCGAGCCAGGCUAUGCGCACGUUGGGAUCGACCGGAGGCACUUGAGGGAGCCCAAGAUCUAGCACCGCCAGAAAUUCGUCUCCAUGCCCGACUCGAGGGGUUUGCUGCCGCGGGUCGAGGCCCUCGCCACCGACUGCACGUUUGUGGAGGAAAUCAGCUGGUCCCAACGCGAGUUUCCUUCCUCUAUGGUUUUCAUUUAUUUAUUUGGGGUUUCUAUCUAAUUGGCAUAUUCGCAACUGAUGUGUUUCGAUUGAAGGCGGAGGCGAGCAGGGAGAGGUCAAAGGCGGCCUACACGGAGCUUCCUAUCCUACGGGUGCGAAUCACAAGCUCGCUGGUAAUCUAUCCCCCUGUUCUGCUUUCCUUUGGAUGAUUUUGGCUCGAUCCCUUUGGGUCAGGGAGUUUUCUAUGUAGGUUUAUGGCCUCCUCGAUAAAUUGAUUCGUUUCCAUGACAUGCUGAUCAGUGGCGGAGCUAGCUUUUCACAUCAGGGUGGUCCGCCCCCCAAAAAUUUUUUUGACAAAAAAUGCGACAUGUGAACGUUCUAACUAGUUCACAGUAUCACAUAGAAAUAGAUCAAUAUGGUCUUACAAACAAACUAGAAUUCUCAAUUAAGACUAAGUUUUGCAUAAAGAAACCUACAUAGUACAUAUAUACUACAUGGAUCAUAGACAUACCUUGAGAAGUUUAAAAACACUAUGUUUUCGGCCUACGCUUUUGCAUUGUCAUGAAGGUAUCAAUUAUAUCAUGUUCAUUCACCUUGGAGAAAGGAUUUCUCUCAACACAUGUGACUAGACAAUCAUCCAAAAGACUAUCGUCCAUCUUAUUUCUCAACUUGCUCUUGACUAUGCUCAUGGCAAAAAAUGCGCUCACAACAUUUGUUGUUGCCACCGGUAGAAUAAAUACCAAUUUUAGAAGCAAGUACACCAAAUGACGAACUAUAUGUCUCCCUAUUUGACCAAGCUUAACCGAGAGAUCGACAAGAUUUCCAAGGCCUCGGAAGUUGUCAUCUUUUUUCAUGUCAUCUAUAUAGUUAUGCACUUGUAGUUUAAGGUGUAUCAAGUCAUCACUUGAAAAAUCUUUGGGAUAAAACUCAACAAGUCUUUGUACCUUGCAUACCAUUUGUGCAUCAAAAGCAGCAAAUGAGUUGGCGGGAUUCAAAGCAGAUAUAGAAGAUGACAACUCCAUGUUGAUCUCAUCAAACCGAUUUUCAAGCUCUUGACUAAUUUGAUCAAUGACUCCAAAAAAAUUCUCUUCUAAAGUGAUCUCCGGCCCUCUUCAUUUUACAACAAAUCUGCAAGAAAACGACUUUCUCUCAAUAAAGCUAAUUGAGGCCUAAAUGAUUUGCAGAAUUAUGUAUAUGUUCUUCAUGUAGUGGAUAGCAUAGUUCAAAAAAGCAAACUCUAAAUCAGAAAUUUGUGUAUUUCGGUACCUUAAAUCAGGCAGGGUAUUCUGGUUUUGGCCAGAUUUGCAGCAGGGGGGCGAGGCCGCGAGGGCAGGGGCGCCAACAGUCCCGGCAGCCGGCCGACGGUAGGGGCGCAGCCGCUCGCUGGAGCAGGGCUGCACACAAGGAGGCGUCGGCUGGACCCGAGGGCCGCACGGGCGGGCGGGACGAGAGGCGGGAUCUUCCUUUACGGCGGAGGGGGCGCGACCGGCGGCGAGGAAUGGGGAGGCGGCUGCCGGCUUGCCGGGCCGGGGUCGGGGUCGGGCGGCAGUGCGAGACUGCGAGGGCAUCAGGACGAGGACGACUGGGUCUGAGCGGAUGGCUGCGUUCGUCGUGGACUCCUGGGUGUGUUUACUGGGCUGGGUAUUUUUCAGGCCCAAUUAAAAUGUAUAAGUAUAUAGUAGGCUGUCUCAAAAUCCCAGGGUGGGCCGCGGCCCACCCUGGCCACCCUGUACAUCCGCCACUGAUGCUGAUCGAUUUAGGGGCUGUUUGGUUCGUUAGUUAAAUUGCCACACUUGUGGCGCGCCGCGGAGUGUGGCGUACAAAACAAGCGCCACACAUUUGGCGAAAAAGUCUGCUGCAAAACACACUGCAGGUUGUGGUGAGCCUAACCUUUGUAGUAAACCAAACGACAGUCUAGGGAGCUGUGGCGCGCCACACCUUGGCAAGGUGCGGCCGGGAACCAAACAGCCCCUUAGAUGGAAAACAUGGUGUCGUUGAUUUGGGUCAGGGAGUUGUUUAUGUAAGUUUAUGAUGUGCUCAAUAACAAUCAUUUUGGUUGGCCAUUUGGAUAUUAACUUCUAGAACAUAACACCCAAUUUUGGUGGAACAAUAUAUGCUGCUACUCGUAUCAUUUGCCUUUGCAUUCAAUGUAGAACUUCAAGAGAGUGACUUGGUGGAUCCCCAAGCCCGUGGUUUGCUCUUCCUGAUGCCUACUUAUGAAAAGCAUUAUGCCCUGCUUGUGCAUGUCAUGAUUUUCUUAAUCCUUCAUCUUUAUGGGCAGUAAUUGUUUUGUUAAUAAUGUGACAUAGUAGAGACGAAGGAAGGCCAUUUGAAAAAAGACAAUAAGUAGGAACUAUAUUUGAUUUCCAUCAUAUCUGAUGUCUAUAUCUGGGGAGUGCUAAUAGACCAGAGUCUUUUUGUAACAGGACAAUAGUCACGAUGCCGAUGAGAUGGAUCUUGUACAGUGCAUGGCGAGUCUCCCUCGCAUUUUUGCUCACAAGUAUAAGCAUCAUGAUUCUUGAUAGUCUGCACAUGUCUUUUGUUACUGGAAACAAACUCCACGAAAUAGGAAUUAUAACAUUGGGGAGGUCGAUACAGAGGAUGCGGGCUGGCCCUUGAUAAAGAGGUUGCUAGCGAUGCGGGGUACUGUAAUCUUGUGAAGCAAAGGUAAUUGCUUCUAUUACAGAAUGGCCUAUGGUGGAAACCAUCAACAAAACUAAGAUUAUGUGUUCAAAGCUUUGAUUGGUGAUCCUUCUGUUGGUAAUUCAAAUUUUCUUGCAAGAUUUCCUAGGAACCCUGGUCCUUGUAAUUCCAGUGGGAUAGAUGAUUACUGGAACACAUAUAUAAACUUAUUAAGAGGUGAUUUAAAUAGCUGCUAAUAUUGGAGUUAUAUUGUUUUUCACUAGAGUUGAUACAAUCACCAAAGCAACAUUUGCUAAUUCCACACUGAUCCUUGUAAUUCCACACUGGUGAUUUUCCACUUCAGAUUCUUGAGCCACACAUAUUAUUAUGACCUAUCAGUUCUAGUGGAAAACAAUAUAACUCUAGUGUUGCUUUGGUGGGACUAGCAGAUGGUGUUUUUGGCUCAAGAAUCUGAAGUGGAAAACAAUAUAACUCCAAUGAAGAUUGAUAAGUUUGAUUGGUCUGCUUACGAAGAAGUGUGGCAGCAGUUUACAUUUCUUGAAGUUUAACCUUUCCAUCUGAAAAUUUGCAAUGAUUCAUUCAAAGGAGUCUGUAACAAUGCUAUAUGAUUGUUAUUAUUUUCACUUGAAUAUCCCGACUCUGAA
rnacentral:lncRNA from 1 species